rnacentral:rRNA from 1 species
ACGUACACUCCUACGGGAGGCAGCAGUGGAGAAUAUUGGACAAUGGGCGCAAGCCUGAUCCAGCCAUGCCGCGUGAGUGAUGAAGGCCCUAGGGUUGUAAAGCUCUUUCACCGGUGAAGAUAAUGACGGUAACCGGAGAAGAAGCCCCGGCUAACUUCGUGCCAGCAGCCGCGGUAAUACGAAGGGGGCUAGCGUUGUUCGGAUUUACUGGGCGUAAAGCGCACGUAGGCGGACUAUUAAGUCAGGGGUGAAAUCCCGGGGCUCAACCCCGGAACUGCCUUUGAUACUGGUAGUCUUGAGUUCGAGAGAGGUGAGUGGAAUUCCGAGUGUAGAGGUGAAAUUCGUAGAUAUUCGGAGGAACACCAGUGGCGAAGGCGGCUCACUGGCUCGAUACUGACGCUGAGGUGCGAAAGCGUGGGGAGCAAACAGGAUUAGAAACCCUGGUAGUCCCAUG